GGGUGCGUAGCUCAGGGGGGGUAGAGCGCUGCUCUUACAAAGCAGAUGUCGGCGGUUCGAAACCGUCCGCGCCCACCA
rnacentral:tRNA from 1 species